GAUGAACGCUAGCGAUAGGCUUAACACAUGCAAGUCGAGGGGCAGCAUGGUCUUAGCUUGCUAAGACUGAUGGCGACCGGCGCACGGGUGCGUAACGCGUAUGCAACUUGCCUCACAGAGGGGGAUAACCCGUCGAAAGACGGACUAAUACCGCGUACACUCCAUCUUGGGCACCCAAGGUAGAGGAAAUGAAAUUCGCUGUGAGAUAGGCAUGCGUCCCAUUAGCUAGUCGGUGAGGUAACGGCUCACCAAGGCGACGAUGGGUAGGGGAACUGAGAGGGUGACCCCCCACACUGGUACUGAGACCCGGACCAGCCUCCUACGGGAGGCAGCAGUGAUUAAUAUUGGUCAAUGAGCGCGAGCCUGAGCCAGCCAAGUCGCGUGAAGGAUGCCUGUCUUAUGGAUUGUAAUCUUCUUUUAAACGGAAAUACCAAGAGUCACGUGUGACUCCCUGCAUGUACCGUAUGAAUAAGCCUCGGCUAACUCCGUG
rnacentral:rRNA from 1 species